rnacentral:rRNA from 1 species
CUACGGGAGGCUGCAGUGGGGAAUAUUGCACAAUGGGCGCAAGCCUGAUGCAGCCAUGCCGCGUGUGUGAAGAAGGCCUUCGGGUUGUAAAGCACUUUCAGCGGGGAGGAAGGCGGUGAGGUUAAUAACCUCAUCGAUUGACGUUACCCGCAGAAGAAGCACCGGCUAACUCCGUGCCAGCAGCUGCGGUAAUACGGAGGGUGCAAGCGUUAAUCGGAAUUACUGGGCGUAAAGCGCACGCAGGCGGUCUGUCAAGUCGGAUGUGAAAUCCCCGGGCUCAACCUGGGAACUGCAUUCGAAACUGGCAGGCUAGAGUCUUGUAGAGGGGGGUAGAAUUCCAGGUGUAGCGGUGAAAUGCGUAGAGAUCUGGAGGAAUACCGGUGGCGAAGGCGGCCCCCUGGACAAAGACUGACGCUCAGGUGCGAAAGCGUGGGGAGCAAACAGGAUUAGAUACCCCGGUAGUC